GUAGGUGGCAAGCGUUGUCCGGAUUUACUGGGCGUAAAGGGCUUGUAGGCGGUUUGUUAAGUCCGGUGUGAAAUCUCCCGGCUCAACUGGGAGGAGCCAUCGGAAACUGGCAAGCUAGAGGUGGGCAGAGGAAAGCGGAAUUCCCGGUGUAGCGGUGAGAUGCGUAGAUAUCGGGAGGAACACCAGUGGCGAAGGCGGCUUUCUGGGCCUAUCCUGACGCUGAGGAGCGAAAGCGUGGGGAGCAAACCGGAUUAGAUACCCGGGUAGUCCACGCCCUAAACGGUGGAUGCUAGGUGUGGGGGGUGUCGACCCCCUCUGUGCCGUAGCUAACGCUUUAAGCAUCCCGCCUGGGGAGUACGGCCGCAAGGCUA
rnacentral:rRNA from 1 species